GACCUGAUAGGGAAGCGGUAUCACGCUCACAGCAAGUGGAGCGUUUUCCGUGCUGCAUCUAUGGAAGGCCCCGGUUCAAAGCCGGGUCAGGUCG